rnacentral:rRNA from 1 species
GAGUUUGAUUCAUGGCUCAGGACGAACGCUGGCGGCGUGCUUAACACAUGCAAGUCGAACGAUGAAGCGGUGCUUGCACCGUGGAUUAGUGGCGAACGGGUGAGUAAUACGUGAGUGACCUACCUUUGACUCUGGGAUAAGCCUGGGAAACUGGGUCUAAUACCGGAUACGACCAAUCUCUGCAUGGGGUGUUGGUGGAAAGCGUUAUGGAGUGGUUUUAGAUGGGCUCACGGCCUAUCAGCUUGUUGGUGAGGUAAUGGCUUACCAAGGCGACGACGGGUAGCCGGCCUGAGAGGGUGACCGGCCACACUGGGACUGAGACACGGCCCAGACUCCUACGGGAGGCAGCAGUGGGGAAUAUUGCACAAUGGGCGCAAGCCUGAUGCAGCGACGCCGCGUGAGGGAUGACGGCCUUCGGGUUGUAAACCUCUGUUAGCAUCGAAGAAGCGAAAGUGACGGUAGGUGCAGAGAAAGCGCCGGCUAACUACGUGCCAGCAGCCGCGGUAAUACGUAGGGCGCGAGCGUUGUCCGGAAUUAUUGGGCGUAAAGAGCUUGUAGGCGGUUGGUCGCGUCUGCUGUGAAAGGCCGGGGCUUAACUCCGGUUUUGCAGUGGGUACGGGCUAACUAGAGUGCAGUAGGGGAGACUGGAAUUCCUGGUGUAGCGGUGGAAUGCACAGAUAUCAGGAGGAACACCGAUGGCGAAGGCAGGUCUCUGGGCUGUAACUGACGCUGAGAAGCGAAAGCAUGGGGAGCGAACAGGAUUAGAUACCCUGGUAGUCCAUGCCGUAAACGUUGGGCACUAGGUGUGGGGGACAUUCCACGUUUUCCGCGCCGUAGCUAACGCAUUAAGUGCCCCGCCUGGGGAGUACGGCCGCAAGGCUAAAAUCAAAAGGAAUUGACGGGGGCCCGCACAAGCGGCGGAGCAUGCGGAUUAAUUCGAUGCAAACGCGAAGAACCUUACCAAGGCUUGACAUGCAUUAGAUCGCGUCAGAGAUGGCGUUUCCCUUCGGGGCUGGUGUACAGGUGGUGCAUGGUUGUCGUCAGCUCGUGUCGUGAGAUGUUGGGUUAAAGUCCCGCGAACGAGCGCGAACCCUCGUUCUAUGUUGCCAGCGGUUCGGCCGGGAACUCAUAGGAGACUGCCGGGGUCGAACUCGGAGGAAAGGUGGGGAUGAACGUCGAAAUCAUCGAUGCCCCUUAUGUCUUGGGCUUCACGCGAUGCUACGAAUGGCCGGUACAGAGGGUUGCGAUACUGUGAGGUGGAGCUAAUCCCUUAAAGCCGGUCUCGGUUUCGGAAUUGGGGUCUGCGACUCGGACCCCGUGAAAGUUCGGAGUCGGCGAGGAUCGCGGAAUCGGGCGAACGCUGCGGUAAUGACGUUCCCCGG